AGAACGAACGCUGGCGGCAUGCCUAACACAUGCAAGUCGAACGCUCUUGGGGCUUCGGUCUCAGGGGAGUGGCGCACGGGUGAGUAGCGCGUGGGAACCUGCCCUGUUGUGGGGGAUAACCGAGGGAAACUUCGGCUAAUACCGCAUAAGCCGGUUGUCUUGAAGGAGAUGGCCGGGAAAGAUUUAUCGCGACAGGAGGGGCCCGCGUCGGAUUAGCUAGUUGGUGGGGUAACGGCCCACCAAGGCGGUGAUCCGUAGCUGGUCUGAGAGGAUGAUCAGCCACACUGGGACUGAGACACGGCCCAGACUCCUACGGGAGGCAGCAGUGGGGAAUAUUGGACAAUGGGCGCAAGCCUGAUCCAGCAAUGCCGCGUGAGUGAUGAAGGCCUUAGGGUUGUAAAGCUCUUUCGCCCGCGACGAUGAUGACGGUAGCGGGAGAAGAAGCCCGGCUAACUCUGUGCCAGCAGCCGCGGU
rnacentral:rRNA from 1 species